AUUAGAAUGUAUCACUGUGGUGGCCUUUCGGUGGAGGCUCCAAACUCAUCGUGAACACGGGUCCCGCAGCUCCCUCCGUGUCUCUGCUCUCUCCGUCCCCUCUGCAGCUGUCUGAGGGAUCGGCCUCGCUGCUCUGCCUGCUGUCUGGCUACUCUCCACAGGGGGCGCUGGUUAGCUGGACAGUGGACGGCUCAGAGGUGAAGAACGGGGUUCUGACCAGCGCAGAAGAAGAGAAGAACGGCCGUUACAGCCGCAGCAGCACCCUGACCCUCAGCAAAGACCUCUGGGAAAAGGGGGAGGAGUUCAGCUGUAAGGUCUCCCAUAACAACGUCAAUCAUCCAGUCACGUUCAGAAAGAGUCAGUGUGAAGGCUAGUGGAUCCAAGAUAGAGUUUAACAUAGAGCUGCUUCUGAUCCAUCUACAUUAGAGUUUCAAUUCUACACAAUGCUGACAUUUCUGUCUUUACUCUGUUCACUGCCCUGUUGCUCUUCCUGUAGUUUUUGCUGAAAUAAAGCUGAAUUUUGGA